rnacentral:rRNA from 1 species
UACGUAGGGGGCAAGCGUUGUCCGGAAUUAUUGGGCGUAAAGGGCGUGUAGGCGGUAUACUAAGUCAGAUGUGAAAGUUCUGGGCUUAACCCCGGAAUUGCAUUUGAAACUGUAAUACUUGAGUACUGGAGAGGUAAGUGGAAUUCCUAGUGUAGCGGUGAAAUGCGUAGAUAUUAGGAGGAACACCAGUGGCGAAGGCGACUUACUGGACAGAUACUGACGCUGAGGCGCGAAAGCGUGGGGAGCAAACAGG